UACAUGCAGUCGAGCGGACAGAUGGGAGCUUGCUCCCUGAUGUUAGCGGCGGACGGGUGAGUAACACGUGGGUAACCUGCCUGUAAGACUGGGAUAACUCCGGGAAACCGGGGCUAAUACCGGAUGGUUGUCUGAACCGCAUGGUUCAGACAUAAAAGGUGGCUUCGGCUACCACUUACAGAUGGACCCGCGGCGCAUUAGCUAGUUGGUGAGGUAACGGCUCACCAAGGCGACGAUGCGUAGCCGACCUGAGAGGGUGAUCGGCCACACUGGGACUGAGACACGGCCCAGACUCCUACGGGAGGCAGCAGUAGGGAAUCUUCCGCAAUGGACGAAAGUCUGACGGAGCAACGCCGCGUGAGUGAUGAAGGUUUUCGGAUCGUAAAGCUCUGUUGUUAGGGAAGAACAAGUGCCGUUCAAAUAGGGCGGCACCUUGACGGUACCUAACCAGAAAGCCACGGCUAACUACGUGCCAGCAGCCGCGGUAAUACGUAGGUGGCAAGCGUUGUCCGGAAUUAUUGGGCGUAAAGGGCUCGCAGGCGGUUUCUUAAGUCUGAUGUGAAAGCCCCCGGCUCAACCGGGGAGGGUCAUUGGAAACUGGGGAACUUGAGUGCAGAAGAGGAGAGUGGAAUUCCACGUGUAGCGGUGAAAUGCGUAGAGAUGUGGAGGAACACCAGUGGCGAAGGCGACUCUCUGGUCUGUAACUGACGCUGAGGAGCGAAAGCGUGGGGAGCGAACAGGAUUAGAUACCCUGGUAGUCCACGCCGUAAACGAUGAGUGCUAAGUGUUAGGGGGUUUCC
rnacentral:rRNA from 1 species